UACGAACGCUGGCGGCGUGCCUAAUACAUGCAAGUCGAACGCUUUUUCUUUCACCGGAGCUUGCUCCACCGAAAGAAAAAGAGUGGCGAACGGGUGAGUAACACGUGGGUAACCUGCCCAUCAGAAGGGGAUAACACUUGGAAACAGGUGCUAAUACCGUAUAACACUAUUUUCCGCAUGGAAGAAAGUUGAAAGGCGCUUUUGCGUCACUGAUGGAUGGACCCGCGGUGCAUUAGCUAGUUGGUGAGGUAACGGCUCACCAAGGCAACGAUGCCUAGCCGACCUGAGAGGGUGAUCGGCCACACUGGGACUGAGACACGGCCCAGACUCCUACGGGAGGUAGCAGUAGGGAAUCUUCGGCAAUGGACGAAAGUCUGACCGAGCAACGCCGCGUGAGUGAAGAAGGUUUUCGGAUCGUAAAACUCUGUUGUUAGAGAAGAACCAGGAUGAGAGUAAAACGUUCAUCCCUUGACGGUAUCUAACCAGAAAGCCACGGCUAACUACGUGCCAGCCGCCGCUGUAA
rnacentral:rRNA from 1 species